rnacentral:rRNA from 1 species
UAGGGAAUAUUGCUCAAUGGGGCGAAAGCCUGAAGCAGCAACGCCGCGUGGAGGAUGACACUUUUCGGAGCGUAAACUCCUUUUCUUAGGGAAGAACAAUGACGGUACCUAAGGAAUAAGCACCGGCAAACUCCGUGCCAGCAGCCGCGGUAAUACGGAGGGUGCGAGCGUUAAUCGGAAUGACUGGGCGUAAAGGGCACGCAGGUGGCGAGAUAAGUUGGAUGUGAAAUUCCCGUGCUUAACAUGGGGACUGCAUCCAAAACUGUUGAACUGGAGUACUGUAGAGGGAGGUAGAAUUCCACGUGUAGCGGUGAAAUGCGUAGAGAUGUGGAAGAAUACCAGAGGCGAAGGCGGCCUCCUGGACAGAUACUGACACUGAGGUGCGAAAGCGUGGGUAGCAAACAGGAUUAGAUACCCUGGUAGU